rnacentral:ncRNA from 1 species
GUUCAAAUGAGGAAGGGAUUACGGUGGAUACCUAAGCACCCAGAGAUGAGGAAGGGAGUGGUAAGCGACGAAAUGCUUCGGGGAGUUGAAAAUGAGCAUAGAUCUGGAGAUUCUUGAAUAGGUUAACCUUUUUAACUGUUGCUUAAUCCAUGGGCAGGAAAGAGACAAGCCGACAAACUGAAACAUAUUAGUAGCCAAAGGAAUAAAAACCAAAAUCAAUUCCCAUAGUAGUGGCGAGCAAAAUGGGAGAAGCCUAAACCUUGAAAAUGAGGUUGUGGGAGAGCACAAUAUAAGUUUUGUGCUGCUAGGCGAAGCGGUUGAGUCCUACACCCUAGAUGGUGAGAGUCCAGUCGCCAAAAGAAUCAUUUGGUUAUGCUCUAACCGGAGUAGCAUGGGGCACAUGGAAUCCCAUGUGAAUCAGCAAGGACCACCUUGCAAGGCUAAAUACUCCUGGGUGACCGAUAACGAAGUAGUACCGUGAGGGAAAAGUGAAAAGAACCCCCAUCGGGGAGUGAAAUAGAACAUGAUAUCAUAAGCUCCCAAGUAGUGGGAGGAAAAUGAUAUCUCUAACCACAUGCCUAUUGAAGAAAGAGCCAACGACUUAUAGGUAGUGGAUUGGUUAAGGUAACCCACUAGAGCCGUAGCAAGAGCGAGUCUUCAUCGGGAAAUUAUCACUACUUAUGGACCCAAACCUGGGUGAUCUAUCCAUGAUCAGGAUUAAGCUUGGGUGAAACUAAGUGGAGUUCUAAACCAACUGAUGUCGAAAAAUCAGCGGAUGAGUUAUGGUUACCGGUGAAAUGCCACUCGAACCCAGAGCUAGAUAGUUCUCCCCAAAAUGCAUUGAGGCGCAACAGUUGACUGGACCAUCUAGGGGUAAAGCACUAUUUCAAUAUGGGCCAUGAGAGCGGUACCAAAUAGAGGAAAACUAUGAAUACUAUAUUUCCCCAAUAAAAAUACCGAUUGCUCUUGCACCGAAGAUAAAUGGGACUAAGCAAUCCAUUGAAGCUGUAGGAUGUCAAAAUACAUCAGUAGGGGAGAAUUCUACCUCAGAGGGAAGCACCGAUGCGAGCAGGUGUGGAUGAAGCGGAAGCGAGAAUGUUGGCCUGAGUAAUGAAAACAUUGGUGAGAAUCCAAUGCCCCAAAAACCUAAGGGUUCCUCUGCAAGUUUCAUCCAUAAAGGAUGAGUCAAGGCCUAAGACCAGGACGAAAGGCAUAGUCGAAGGACAAUAGGUUAAUAUUCUUGUACUACCCCUUGUUGGUCCCAAGGGACAGAGGAGGCUAGGUUAGCCGAAAUAUGGUUAUCGGUUCAAGGACGCAAGGUGACCCUCUUUACAUUGAUUUAAAGGUAAAAUAAGAAUCAAAUAUAUGUGUGUACAAGGUGAGGUUGGGGGUGGAUAUUCCUUAUCAUUUACUCUAGCACACAAAAAUCCAAGAUGGAUUAUCCAAACAAUAUAGGAUGCACAAAAUCAUGUAGGAGCACCCAUAUCAUCAAUGAGGGUGAGUAUACCUCCUAGGAUAUAUGUUAACCAUAUUGUAUUAGAUUCCUCCAUUUGUGAUCUUUACAAUUGUUUUGAGGAGGUGAUGUGUGAUACUUUGUUGGAUGAGUGUGAUGUUUGGGGGGUAGUUCCUUUCUAGAAGCUAGGAGUUGAUUUCGAGAUUGCAACGUGUUCAAAUUUGCAGAAGGAAAGUUUGUUUGAGUUGCAAAGGGAGCAAAAUGAUGUUGGUGAAAACACUUUCCUCAUAAAGAGGGUGUGUUUUCUUUCGAGGUUACUCUGAAAUUGUUUGAUUGAGUUUCAAAGGAAGAAUAAAGAUGUUGGUGAAAACACUUUCCUCAUAAAGAGGGAGUGUUUUCUUUCGAGGUUAAUCCCAAAUUAAGUUACACCAUACUUAAGGGUGCUUCAUGUGAUGUGGGGUGCAUGGUGUAUUGAUAACCCUUAUUUGACGUGAUGGACAUACACAUUGGAUUUAGCUUUCAAAUUGAUUGUAAGACCUUUUCUUGAUGCAUAUGUGGCAUUCUUCCUUGUAGCAUUGGAGACCUACAUGGCUAGUGGAUUUCUUCAUAAGACAAAAUGGAGGUCAGUUGAUUCCUUGGGAUGAUGGUUUUCCUUGGAGGAGGAUAAUUGGGCAUCUUGGAGGAGGGAAUUGAACCCUAGAUGGCAUGGGGACACUUGGUUUCUUACAUGGAUACUUGGACUUGACUUGAGGACACUUGGGUUGAAAACCAAUCAUGUAAGUGGCACUGAACCAGAGUUAUACAUGGCCUAAGAGGGAGUGUUGGAUAAUUGGAGACCUUUGGAGGAGGAGUGUUACACACACGUCAUGGAGCACUCAACGUUCAAUCUUUGUUUGUUGGAUGUGCUUCCCUUGGAGCUUGGCAUGUGUGAGCUAGAGUUGGAGUGCUCCACAUGUGGGGAUAUUUAGUAAUUAGAUAUAUUGUUUGUUGUGGAAUUGAUCCACUUUAUGAUUUUUUCCUUCCAUGACUUUCAUAUAAAUAAAUUGAGAAGGUAUUUUCAUCACUUUUACUUCUUCACUCAUAGACUCACAUGCUUGCAUUAGAAAUGUGAGACUAGGUUGAACUUGUCUUCUUAUACUCUUCUUCAUGUGUAUUUUAUUUAUCUUUGAAUCCUCCUUAGAGUUUCUUGUCAUAAGUAGUACUCACUUUUAUGUUCUGCAUUACUUCUCUAAUUCUAACAAAAGAAUAAAGGAAACGAAAUCUAAAUAGAGGAAGGUCAUCUCUUUAGUUGAUAAAAUUAGGGAAAGUAAGAAAUAUGGAGAAAAAAAGAAAAAAAAGAGCAGGGAUCUUCAUGGAGAAAAAAA